rnacentral:lncRNA from 1 species
UGGCCACGUGACCUGCUUUGAUGAAUGAGACAACGGCUGGCAGGAGUCUGCAAUGGCUGGGGCCGGGCCACACCUAGGCGCUGAGCUCCUGAAAUAAGAUCUUGGAACUCGUCUUCAUGUGAAAGCAUCCUCUAACCUUCUUAAGGCUAAAAGACCACCUGGAAAGAGAUGCCCACUGUGCCUGCUGAGCACAUUCCCAGCCUACCUCACCUGAAUGCAGCCCGCGAGUGAACCCAGCAAGACCAGCGCAAGAGCCGAGGACAGCUCCAGAGUCGUGAGAAUCCAUACAUUACGUGACUUUCAGCUAGGAAAAUUCAGGGUGGCUGCUGAUGCAGCAGCAGAAAACAGAAAAUUGCUCAUGGGUUCAUGUCACAAUCUGUUGGGCAGCGGCUCUGCAAUGUCACGUCCAUAGCUCAGUCACCCAGGCUCCAUCCCAAGCUCUAGACCACAUGGUGCUGGGAGAAGUUGGUGACAGACCACAACCUGGCCCCUGCACACUCCACUGCCCUUGCUGGCUGCCCUGUUUGUGGCCCUAGCCUAGAGUCCCCCAGCUCUGGCUAGAAAGAUCAUUCAAAGUGACAUCUGUGAUGCAGACCUUAAUGAUGAUAGAUGGCAGCAUGCCCUGGACUUCGCCAUCAGUGAGUACAACAAGGAGAGAAUGAUGAACACUACAGUCACCCCGCAGGUGCUGCCAGGCCAACAGCAGAUGUGGGCUGGGUGAGCUACUUCUUUGAUAUGAAGAUAGACCUAACCACAUGCACUAAGUCUCAGCCAGACUUGGACAACUGUCUCUUCAGUGACCAGCCACAGUUGAAGGAGAAACAGUUCUGCUCUUUCCAGAUCUACGAAGUUCCCUUGAAGGACAGAAUGUCCCUGGUGAAAUCCAGGUGUGGGAAAGCCUAGGGGUCUGUGCAAGGCCAGCCGCACUGACCACCUCCUACUCCCACCCCCUGUAGUGCUCCCACCCGUGGACUGGUGGCCCCAACCCUGGGGGAGGUCUCCCCAUGUGCCUGCACCAGGAGCCAAAAGAGAAGGCAGCAGGAGGACUUUGUUGCUCAGCAGGGGGCUCUGUCCUUGCUCCUUUUUUCUUGCUUCUCACAGCCCCCCACUUCCUGCAAUUAAACAGUAGCAUCGCC